GUUGGGCACAGUGGUGCGUGCCUGUAACCUUAGCUACUACAGAGGCUGAGGCAGGAGGAUUGCAAUUUGAGGCCAGUCUCAAGGCCAGAAGCCUAGUGAGAUCUUGUCUAAA
rnacentral:sRNA from 1 species